rnacentral:misc_RNA from 1 species
UAAUACAUGUAUGUUGACGAUUCUUUGAAGGAAUUACACGAUUUUCGCUAUUUAUAAAUUUAGCGUGUUAAAAAGGACAUCAUUUCGGAUUAAAUAAUAUAUUUAGAAAACAUCAUUCAAUAAAAAUGUGUGGAGGAAAUCAAGUUGACGACGAUGAGAGUUCAGGAGAGAAAUACGGCAAACCAAAAGAACACAAGAAAGAUUUUAAAGGACCUAUAAAGAACAGGUCAUGUACAGAUAUCAUAUGUUGCUUACUGUUCGUCAUAUGUGUUACUGGAAUGGUAGUGGUGUCCGCUGUAGGAUUUGGCUACGGUGACCCGAAAAAAUUGGUAUAUCCGACAGAUUCUGAUGGGAACAUGUGUGGUGUUGGUGACUAUGCGUCAAAACCUUAUUUGGCAUAUUUCGAUAUUUUGCAAUGUACGAAGGUCGGUGUUUAUGCUAUAGCAGCAGGAUGUCCAACUCCGUCAGUGUGUGUGGCCUCUUGUCCAUCAACUUACUGGGUUUAUUUGGAGUUGGAAGCAUUAGUUACAGCAACAACGGCAACUACUUCAGAUUAUGAUAAACUGUUGUGUAAAAAUAGUGUGACAGAUGCACAAUCACUCAUAGUUGCUAGUGCAAGUGUGGGAACAAAAGUAACAGAUACAGUGAUAGACACAGAUUUAUGUGCUGCAUACUACGUGCCUACAACAGAUCUUGUUGGUCGUUGUAUCCCGUCUGUAUUUAUUGAUGGAUUAGACUAUGCUGCCACCAUGGUAUCUUCUAGUGGCAGCUACAACCUCACCAGUAAAGAUGGAAUUGAUAUAAAUGGGGAUGUCUUAAACACAGCGAGUCAGUACCUUGCUAAGUUUUAUGCAUUAAAGAAUUAUGCAGAAUUAGUGUUUAAAGAUUGUAUCAAUGCAUGGUGGCUUAUUCUUGCGUGUCUGGGAGGUGCAGCAGUGUUCUGUUUUAUCUGGAUCAUAUUGCUGAGAUUUAUUGCUGGAAUUAUAGUGUGGGCCACACUGGUACUCUUCCUUGGAGUCUGGGCAUUUGGAACAUAUUACAGCUUUGAUAGAUACUACUACCUGAAGAACAAUGGAAAUCCUGCCGAGCAGUAUGAUGUUGCUCCAUUGUUUGCUGGGGAAUUCAACUAUUAUCUGGGCCUAAAGAAAACAUGGCUGGCUUUUGCUUGCACAUGUUCCACAUUGCUGUUGAUAUUUCUGCUGAUAUUUCUCUUCCUGGUGAAGAGGAUUUGUAUUGCUAUAGAGCUCAUUAAAGAGUCUAGCAGAGCUAUAGGUAACAUGAUAUUCACCCUGAUAUGGCCUGUGUUCCCAUUCCUAAUGCAGCUGGCAUUCUUUGCUUACUACGUAGUGAGUGCAGCAUAUGUGGCCUCCAUGGGUGCCUCACAGUUCUACAACAAUGCUACCAACACAACAGAUGAUGAAGGUGUGACAUAUUAUCUUAAACGUGCUCCAUGUGAUGUUAAUGACCAAAAUACAGGAGAAGUGUGUGAGUUUGUGAAAUAUGGAGGUGAUGAGUAUACAAUUCCACUUGAAGUGUUCCUGUUGUUUAUGUUUUUCUGGGGAAUGAACUUCAUUGUGGCCCUCGGACAGAUGACCCUUGCUGGGGCUUUUGCCUCCUACUACUGGGCAUUUGAGAAACCCAAGGAUAUACCAGCAUUCCCUCUGACUGGAUCUAUAUACCGCUCACUCAGAUUUCAUAUGGGAUCACUAGCGUUUGGUUCAUUACUGAUUGCUAUUGUUCAGAUGAUCCGUGUGUUCCUCGAGUACCUGGACCACAAGUUAAAGGGAUCAGGAAAUGCUGUGGCUAAGUUCUUCCUCAAAUGUUUAAAAUGUUGCAUGUGGUGUCUGGAAAAAUUCUUAAGAUUCCUCAACAAGAAUGCCUAUAUUCUGAUUGCUAUUUAUGGGAAGAAUUUCUGUGCCUCAGCUAAAGAUGCAUUUUUCCUUAUUAUGAGAAAUGUUGUCAGGGUAGUGGUGUUAGACAAGGUUACAGACUUUGUCCUGUUCAUCAGCAAGUUGCUGUGUGUAUCAGCUGUAGGGGUCGCUUCAUUUUUCUUCUUCAACGGAGACAUCUCAUAUCUCAGUGAAUAUGUCCCCAAGCUCAACUACUUCUUUACACCAGUCAUUUUGGUAGUGCUGGGUACCUACCUGAUAGCCUCCUGUUUCUUCAGUGUAUACAGUAUGGCAGUGGAUACCUUAUUCCUGUGUUUCUUGGAGGACUUGGAAAUGAAUGAUGGAACACCAGAGAAACCAUACUACAUGAGCAAAGGCCUUAUGAAAAUCAUCGGCAAGAAAAACAAACAACUGAAAGAACCAGGUGGUAAUUCUAGGAAGAAGUCGUAUAUUCACAACUAAACAUUCUGUACUUUGGCUUCUGAGAAAAAGACUGAUGAAAUGAUUCUAGCUGAAAUCUAAAACUUUUUAUCUGAAGUAGCAUUGAAGAGCCCAGAAAUUUCUUGGAUAUGACUGCUGAGGAUGUUCAGUAACUUGAGAAAACACUUGUUCCAUUUCCAGUCUUGUCAGGUCUGGCAUGUAACCAGGCAUGUCUUAACAGUUACACAGUGAUUAAUGUUACACUCAUUCCAUUCUGGUUAAGUCUAUUGUGACAUGUAACUAUGUGUACAGUGUCUUAAGUGUCUUAAGAGUAACAACAUGAUAAAUGUUACAUUCAUUCCAUUGCAGGCAUAUAACUAUGUAGACAGUGUCUUAAGGUUACACUCGUACAGUUACACUCAUACCUGUGUCAUGUAACAAGACAUACAUUGUUUUGACACUGUGAUUAAUGCUACUCUCAUGCUCACUUGGAUGUAGCUUAUUCCUUUCACAUGUGUGCUCUUUCACAUUUGUGCACUUUUCUAAAUAUACCAUAAUGUAGAAAUUAUUAUUUUCAUACUAAGACAAUCAGUGAGGGGUAAGUACUAUGAAUACAUUCCAAUUAAAGAAUAAGUAUGUUUUUGAAAUAUUCAGAAAUGUGACAUGUUAUAGGAUUUUCUGUAUAGUUGUCAGUUUUUAAAAAAACAGGACAUGCUCUUGGCAUUUGUGCAGCAAAGUAAAAAAAGAGAAAGAAACAGAUUUCAGAAGGAAUUGACUUUGCAGAAAUACAUGUAUAUAGUAUUAUUCCAAAUCAGCAUCAUUAUACAAUUAUUAUAUAAUUAUGAUAAUUUUUUGUGAUGUUUAUCAGGUUCAUUUAUUUUGAUAUAUAUACCAUUUUUAGCUCA